UACGAAGGGGGCUAGCGUUGUUCGGAAUUACUGGGCGUAAAGCGCACGUAGGCGGAUACUUAAGUUAGGGGUGAAAUCCCGGGGCUCAACCCCGGAACUGCCUUUGAUACUGGGUAUCUGGAGUCCGAGAGAGGUGAGUGGAAUUCCGAGUGUAGAGGUGAAAUUCGUAGAUAUUCGGAGGAACACCAGUGGCGAAGGCGGCUCACUGGCUCGGUACUGACGCUGAGGUGCGAAAGCGUGGGGAGCAAACAGG
rnacentral:rRNA from 1 species